GACGAACGCUGGCGGCGUGCUUAACACAUGCAAGUCGAACGGAAAGGCCCUGCUUUUGUGGGGUGCUCGAGUGGCGAACGGGUGAGUAACACGUGAGUAACCUGCCCUUGACUUUGGGAUAACUUCAGGAAACUGGGGCUAAUACCGGAUAGGAGCUCCUGCUGCAUGGUGGGGGUUGGAAAGUUUCGGCGGUUGGGGAUGGACUCGCGGCUUAUCAGCUUGUUGGUGGGGUAGUGGCUUACCAAGGCUUUGACGGGUAGCCGGCCUGCGAGGGUGACCGGCCACCAUAGGACUGAGAUACGGCCCAGACUCGUACGGGAGGCAGCAGUGGGGAGUAUUGCACAAUGGGCGGGAGCCUGAUGCGACAACGCCGCGUGCGGGAUGACGGCCUUCGGGUUGUGAACCGCAUUCGCCUGUGACGAAGCGUGAGUGACGGUAAUGGGUGAAGAAGCACCGGCUAACUACGUG
rnacentral:rRNA from 1 species